AGGAUCAUUUGCAAUGGGCGAAAGCCUGACAAUGCGACGCUGCGUGCAGGAUGAAGGUCUUCGGAUUGUAAACUGCUGUCAAGGGGGAAAAGGACGCGGCCCCGAACAAGGGCCGCCGUUUGAUUGUACUCCUAGAGGAAGUGACGGCUAACUCUGUGCCAGCAGCCGCGGUAAUACAGAGGUCACUAGCGUUGUUCGGAUUUACUGGGCGUAAAGCGUGCGCAGGCGGCCGACCUUGUCGGAUGUGAAAGCCCGGGGCUCAGCCCCGGAAGUGCAUCCGAAACCGGUCGGCUCGAGUCCGGGAAGGGAGUCUGGAACACACGGUGUAGCGGUGAAAUGCGUUGAUAUCGUGUGGAACACCGGAGGCGAAGGCGAGACUCUGGAACGGCACUGACGCUCAUGCACGAAAGCGUGGGGAGCAAACA
rnacentral:rRNA from 1 species